GCCUGGUUAGCUCAAUCGGUAGAGCGUGCGACUCUUAAUCGCAAGGCUGUGGGUUCGACCCCCACAUCGGGCG